rnacentral:rRNA from 1 species
UACGUAGGGGGCAAGCGUUAUCCGGAAUCAUUGGGCGUAAAGCGCGUGUAGGCGGUUCCGUAAGUCCGCUCUGAAAGCCCCAGGGCUCAACCCUGGGAGGCGGGUGGAUACUACGGAACUGGAGUACGGAAGAGGAGAUUGGAAUUCCUGGUGUAGCGGUGAAAUGCGCAGAUAUCAGGAGGAACACCAACAGCGAAGGCAGAUCUCUGGGACGUUACUGACGCUGAGGAGCGAAAGCAUGGGGAGCGAACAGG